CCUGGCGGCCAUAGCGCGGUGGACCCACCUGAUCCCAUGCCGAACUCAGAAGUGAAACGCCGUAGCGCCGAUGGUAGUGUGGGGUCUC
rnacentral:rRNA from 1 species